UGACUCUGUGCCUCAGGUCAUCCACCCUGGACAACAUCUUGGUCCUCUCCUCUUCCAGGUACAUCUGCUCCUGACCGGCUGACAACUCCUCACACUAAGGGCCUCUUCUGGAUGGUUGAAGCGGAAAAAGGUUGAUUGACCAAAACACAGCAUGCAGCCUGUCAAAAAAAGAAAAAGAUCACGAGGGUAGCAGCAAGCAAGCAUCACGUCAUCUUAAAUGGUUUGCUUAUGUCACCUUAAAUACAACUACGAUACUUGAAUGAGCAUUAGUUCUAGUUUAUGUAUAGCUCAAUUCAAACUUGUUCAUUUACAUUAAAGGGAAAAAAAGCUAUUUAAAUGGCCAGUGAAACUUAUAGUUCCAGAUCACACGUCCUUUAGAAAAAACUAUGUAAGACAGAUGGAAAAUAGAUUGUUGACUGUUCAAUUAUUAUUUCUACUCAUUUGUUGUUUCACUCCUCUCAUCCAACUUAAUAAAGCACCACAAUCUUUUACCUCACAGUGAGGAUUAUCUUCUUGGAAAUGGCAUAACUUUUCAGACAGUUCUGGGUCUCAUUAUAGUACAUAUUUGUACCUCAUGUUGUGAUCUGACCUCAGGU